rnacentral:lncRNA from 1 species
CCUGAUGGCGAGCAAAAUGACACCACCACAUUGUGAAAGGCCUUGGAUUGAUACCGACUCCAAGCUAUACGGACUCAAUUUAUGGAUGAAGCCAGGAUUCAAUACUCCCAACUAGCACCCCCCCACUAGCUGCAUGAUAGGGGUGCCAUGUGAGUGACCUUGAAGAUCGUUCCUCCAGACGGUCAGACUUCCAAUUAUCCGACCCA